GGAGGAUGAACUCAUCCUUCACAGACAAAAUAUAGGGAAGAUGAACUUCCCCAAAAUGCAUGUACCUACUUAAAAACCAAAUCCCAUGUAUUUUUCUGCACUGAGAUUACUGGUAUUGAUCAGAUGAUUAACGUUGUAACACAUUUUGAACUUUAGAAUACUUCUCCUUCCCUCAGGCAGAUAAUUCUUUGUUUGCCUUUGUGUCUUCAUUUUCCUGUGGUGUCCAUGCAAUUUCUUUAUUUUCAGUUAUUGUACAAAGAAAUUGACUGCAGAAUGUGUAACUAAAAAUAGAGGUUUUGGUGGUGAACUCUAGUCAAAGCAUUGCAAGAAAACUGCUACCAAGAGGCAUGAAUUACCUGUACUAACUUUCUCCUCCAGGUCUUUAGCCCUGUCUUGUCUCCUACCUGUGAAGGUUAGUAUCAGGCUACCACAACGUACUAAGGGAAAGCAGAAUCUGCUUCCCUGCUUGUCAUUGGAGCUAACCUUUUUCCUCUUUCCUUUUCCCUUUCCUUUCUUUUUCCACAAACACAGCUUUUGCACAAAUGCAGAGAUUUUUCUUGCUUUCAUCCUGCAGCAGUGGUACUUUGUGGACAAACCAGUCUCUGGUGACGGAGAUCACAGGUGGAGUGCUGCUGCAGUGGCUCCUGAAAACUUCAUCUUUCUUUGGAGUGAAUUGGAGGCAAGGUGAUGAAAAAGGCAGGAGCUGCAUUUGAAUGAGAGAUCGAUCACAGAGACUGAAAGUGACAGCCCUAUCACAUUUGUUUGUGGACUUUGGAGACAGACAGAAAGGAUGAGCAAUUGACAAGGAGGUAGUUUGGAAGAGAAAAUGGAAAAAUAUGGAAGAGUGUAAUUCCACCAGAGCAAUGACUUCUUCUCUUCUGAGUUUCUAUUUGCAUAAGAAAACUAUAAAAAGGAAAGGGCAGCACAGAUUUGUUUGUUUGUUUGAACAAGUCAUUUGAUUUUGGAGAACUGUCUUGGUUUUUCAAAAGUCUUUUAUUUUGGAGUUAAACUCUGCAUCUUGGACAAGGCA
ensembl:lncRNA